UAGCACUUGUUUUUUUCCUGAUUUCGGGGCAGCAUGCUUUGAAGGCACAGUUAAAAAUUUCCCUUUUGCAAAAGCUUCCCAGCAGCUUUCCCAGUGAGCCUGCAGAGCUGGGGAUGUAGGAAAUGUGAAGCAGAGCUCUCCCAGCCUUGGCGGGCACGAGGGGCUUUUGUUUUUCUGGGGGUUUUGUUCUGGAGGUGCUGCUGUGUUCCGUGUGACUUGAAAGCAGAGGGAGAAGGUGAAGCUGCAGCUCCUCAGAUCUGUCUGCUGUAUCCUGGAAGGCAGCAUGGGGAAACUCCACAGAAGCCCCAUGCGAGUGGUGCCUAUUGUUUCCAUGAGCAGAGCCUCCUCUCAGAUGCCCUGAGCUUUCUCACAUAGUGCGUUGGGGUUUGGUGAGUGACACUGCUUUUCUCAGAAUAUUGCUCCCACCCUUGCCUGCUCAAUGCAAUCCACAAGCUGUGGGUGUCAGUCUGGAGGGAAAAAAUAAAAAAAAAA
rnacentral:lncRNA from 1 species